UGGGGAAUUUUGGACAAUGGGCGCAAGCCUGAUCCAGCCAUGCCGCGUGUCUGAAGAAGGCCUUCGGGUUGUAAAGGACUUUUGUCAGGGAAGAAAAGGACAGGGUUAAUACCUCUGUUUGAUGACGGUACCUGAAGAAUAAGCACCGGCUAACUACGUGCCAGCAGCCGCGGUAAUACGUAGGGUGCGAGCGUUAAUCGGAAUUACUGGGCGUAAAGCGAGCGCAGACGGUUACUUAAGCAGGAUGUGAAAUCCCCGGGCUCAACCUGGGAACUGCGUUCUGAACUGGGUGACUAGAGUGUGUCAGAGGGAGGUAGAAUUCCACGUGUAGCAGUGAAAUGCGUAGAGAUGUGGAGGAAUACCGAUGGCGAAGGCAGCCUCCUGGGAUAACACUGACGUUCAUGCUCGAAAGCGUGGGUAGCAAACAGGAUUAGAUACCCUGGUAGUCCACGCUGUAAACGAUGUCGAUUUGGAGGUUGUGCCCUUGAGGCGUGGCUUCCGGAGCUAACGCGUUAAAUCGACCGCCUGGGGAGUACGGCCGCAAGGUUA
rnacentral:rRNA from 1 species